rfam:Ixodes scapularis strain Wikel colony gcontig_1108378225358, whole genome shotgun sequence.
UUGGUAGAGCGCUCCACCUGUAAUGGAGAGGUCCCGGGUUCGAUACCCGGACCAGGCG